CCGGACGACGUGCUUACCAUGCAAGUCGAACGAUGAAUCUCUUCGGAGAUGGAUUAGUGGCGAACGGGUGAGUAACACGUGGGCAAUCUGCCCUGCACUCUGGGACAAGCCCUGGAAACGGGGUCUAAUACCGGAUAUGAGUCUCUACCGCAUGGUGGGGGCUGUAAAGCUCCGGCGGUGCAGGAUGGGCCCGCGGCCUAUCAGCUGGUUGGUGAGGUAAUGGCUCACCAAGGCGACGACGGGUAGCCGGCCUGAGAGGGCGACCGGCCACACUGGGACUGAGACACGGCCCAGACUCCUACGGGAGGCAGCAGUGGGGAAUAUUGCACAAUGGGCGCAAGCCUGAUGCAGCGACGCCGCGUGGGGGAUGACGGCCUUCGGGUUGUAAACCCCUUUCAGCAGGGAAGAAGCGUAAGUGACGGUACCUGCAGAAGAAGCGCCGGCUAACUACGUGCCAGCAGCCGCGGUAAUACGUAGGGCGCAAGCGUUGUCCGGAAUUAUUGGGCGUAAAGAGCUCGUAGGCGGCUUGUCGCGUCGGUUGUGAAAGCCCGGGGCUUAACCCCGGGUCUGCAGUCGAUACGGGCAGGCUAGAGUUCGGUAGGGGAGAUCGGAAUUCCUGGUGUAGCGGUGAAAUGCGCAGAUAUCAGGAGGAACACCGGUGGCGAAGGCGGAUCUCUGGGCCGAUACUGACGCUGAGGAGCGAAAGCGUGGGGAGCGAACAGGAUUAGAUACCCUGGUAGUCCACGCCGUAAACGGUGGGCACUAGGUGUGGGCAACAUUCCACGUUGUCCGUGCCGCAGCUAACGCAUUAAGUGCCCCGCCUGGGGAGUACGGCCGCAAGGCUAAAACUCAAAGGAAUUGACGGUGGCCCGCACAAGCAGCGGAGCAUGUGGCUUAAUUCGACGCAACGCGAAGAACCUUACCACGGUUUGACAUACACCGGUAACCUCUGGAAACAGGGCUCCCCC
rnacentral:rRNA from 1 species